rnacentral:rRNA from 1 species
GCCCUUGGAAGGGGUGUAUUUAUUAGAUUAAAAACCAAUGCCCUUCGGGGCUCACUGGUGAUUCAUGAUAACUCCUCGAAUCGCAUGGCCUUGUGCCGGCGAUGGUUCAUUCAAAUUUCUUCCCUAUCAACUUUCGAUGUUUGGGUAUUGGCCAAACAUGGUUGCAACGGGUAACGGAGGGUUAGGGCUCGACCCCGGAGAAGGAGCCUGAGAAACGGCUACUACAUCCAAGGAAGGCAGCAGGCGCGCAAAUUACCCAAUCCCGACACGGGGAGGUAGUGACAAUAAAUACUGAUACAGGGCUCUUUUGGGUCUUGUAAUUGGAAUGAGUACAAUUUAAAUCCCUUAACGAGGAACAAUUGGAGGGCAAGUCUGGUGCCAGCAGCCGCGGUAAUUCCAGCUCCAAUAGCGUAUAUUAAAGUUGUUGUGGUUAAAAAGCUCGUAGUUGAACCUUGGGCCUGGCUGGCCGGUCCGCCUCACCGCGUGUACUGGCCCGGCCGGGCCUUUCCCUCUGUGGAACCCCAUGCCCUUCACUGGGUGUGGCGGGGAACCAGGACUUUUACAAGGGC